rnacentral:rRNA from 1 species
UCGGGAAUUUUGGGCAAUGGGCGAAAGCCUGACCCAGCAACGCCGCGUGAAGGAUGAAAUCCCUCGGGAUGUAAACUUCGCAAGAAUGGGAAGAAUAAGUAGAAGAUAAUACCUUCUAUGAUGACGGUACCAUUUGUAAGCUCCGGCUAACUCCGUGCCAGCAGCCGCGGUAAUACGGGGGGAGCAAGCGUUGUUCGGAUUUACUGGGCGUAAAGGGCGCGUAGGCGGCCACGACAAGUCAGUUGUGAAAUCUCUGGGCUUAACUCAGAACGGUCAACUGAUACUGUCGGGCUAGAGUGCAGAAGGGGCAACUGGAAUUCUCGGUGUAGCGGUGAAAUGCGUAGAUAUCGAGAGGAACACCUGCGGCGAAGGCGGGUUGCUGGGCUGACACUGACGCUGAGGCGCGAAAGCUAGGGGAGCGAACGGGAUUAGAUACCCCGGUAGUCCUAGCCUUAAACGAUGAAUGCUUGGUGUCUCGGGUUUUAUAGUCCCGAGGUGCCGUCGCUAACGCAUUAAGCA